UGGGGAAUCUUGGACAAUGGGGGAAACCCUGAUCCAGCGACGCCGCGUGGGUGAAGAAGGCCUUAGGGUUGUAAAGCCCUUUCGCCGGGGAAGAUGAUGACGGUACCCGGAGAAGAAGCACCGGCUAACUCCGUGCCAGCAGCCGCGGUAAGACGGAGGGUGCUAGCGUUGUUCGGAAUUACUGGGCGUAAAGGGCGCGUAGGCGGCACAUCAAGUCAGAGGUGAAAGCCCCGGGCUCAACCUGGGAAUUGCCUUUGAAACUGAUGAGCUAGAGUCCGGAAGAGGAUAGCGGAAUUCCCAGUGUAGAGGUGAAAUUCGUAGAUAUUGGGAAGAACACCAGUGGCGAAGGCGGCUAUCUGGUCCGGUACUGACGCUGAGGCGCGAAAGCGUGGGGAGCAAACAGGAUUAGAUACCCCUGUAGUCC
rnacentral:rRNA from 1 species